CGGCGGUUGGCCCAAGAGAAGGGUGUAAAGGUUUACGCCUUUUGCGAGGAUGUUGCGGCCUCUGGCGGGUACUGGCUCGCCUCUAGUGCUGAUGA
rnacentral:tRNA from 1 species